GCAACUUUAUCGUCCGGAAGUAGGAACGUCAAUCCACCGGGGUCGGAGUGCGAUGAUAGCCCCAACGUCAACUCCGGUUGUGGGCAUUUUGGAUAAUAAUUCACUCUCAAACAUGCUCCAACAUCUUCUCCUCCAAAUGCAUUUUGUAGGUACCCUUCUUGAAGCCCCAAAUUUAGUGAUAAAAGCUUCAACAAUUUUCCUCCUACCUUCACUACUUCUUCCCCAUACUCCUCUGUCAAUUCUCUACAUUAACAAAAUAAUCCAAUUUCAUUUCUUUACCAAUUAGUUCCAGAUUUUUAUGUUAAUAGGAAUAUAUAUAUAUUCUCUUCAUGUAAAAGUUAAAGUUUUAUUGGUUAUUGUAGACUUAUAUUCUCACCUUUAUCCCAUGAGAGUAAAAAAUAUGGAUGGAAAUGACAUUUAUGGGGUGACUUUGACUUAUUUUUUAUUUUAAAAAUUUUUAGAUAAGAAUCGAGUUGAGUUAGGUUGGGUUGGAUAAGUACCUGAUAGAGUUGGGUAUAACGGGCCAUUUAUUGUGAUCUUUGAGAUGAGAAGGAAGAUAGUGAAGAAAAAAGUAGUCACUCCAAUCAAGAAUAGCUCCUUUUUGAACACCAAG
rnacentral:lncRNA from 1 species